rnacentral:snRNA from 1 species
GUCCCUUUUAGGGUGACGUAAAUUGAUACUAAGAAGAUUGGGAUGGCCCCUGCACAAGGAUGACACUCUUUUCCGGGGUGAUGACCCUAGGGUCUCAAAAUUUU